rnacentral:rRNA from 1 species
GAUGAACGCUGGCGGCGUGCCUAAUACAUGCAAGUCGAGCGAACAGACGAGGAGCUUGCUCCUCUGACGUUAGCGGCGGACGGGUGAGUAACACGUGGAUAACCUACCUAUAAGACUGGGAUAACUUCGGGAAACCGGAGCUAAUACCGGAUAAUAUAUUGAACCGCAUGGUUCAAUAGUGAAAGACGGUUUUGCUGUCACUUAUAGAUGGAUCCGCGCCGCAUUAGCUAGUUGGUAAGGUAACGGCUUACCAAGGCAACGAUGCGUAGCCGACCUGAGAGGGGGAUCGGCCACACUGGAACUGAGACACGGUCCAGACUCCUACGGGAGGCAGCAGUAGGGAAUCUGCCGCAAUGGGCGAAAGCCUGACGGAGCAACGCCGCGUGAGUGAUGAAGGUCUUCGGAUCGUAAAACUCUGUUAUUAGGGAAGAACAAAUGUGUAAGUAACUAUGCACGUCUUGACGGUACCUAAUCAGAAAGCCACGGCUAACUACGG